GCAGAAUAGAGCAAAAAUAGAGGCGGGAGCUGUAUCUCUGUGAGCUAGAGCAGAGAAUACUUCUGAGAAGAAAGUACUCCGUUUGUAAUAUUUAAAAUAUUAGGGAAAUUCUAGGAUUAAGCAUGUCUAACAAGGGAAAUAUUCACUACAGAGCUGCCCAACGUUGCUAAACCUGCAAAGUAGAGGACAUUUUUUUAACUGACAUUCCUGGCUAGCUAACUAGCUAGAUUUCGUGGUAUCUGCAAAAGGAGGGAGAACUUUGCACCCAAACUGCACUUAAAACAGCAUAUGAGAACACCGGAAUGGAUUCAGUCAGUUUUUUGGCUGGAAAUGAUUGAUCUCUUCACGAGCAUUCUUCACAUCGCUCAGCUGCACACAGCAGGUGCACUGCAGGGUGUCAGGAUGGAGAGCCAAACCCAUAACACACAACCCAGCAAUCGUGCAUUAUCCAGAAAAAUCCCAUAGUGCUGCAACCAUGUCCUACAGCAUUAUUUUGUUGUCAGCAACAGAAA